rnacentral:rRNA from 1 species
UACGUAGGUGGCAAGCGUUGUCCGGAUUUACUGGGUGUAAAGGGCGUGCAGCCGGGCUGACAAGUCAGAUGUGAAAUCCCGCGGCUCAACCGCGGAACUGCAUUUGAAACUGUCAGUCUUGAGUACCGGAGAGGUCAUCGGAGUUCCUUGUGUAGCGGUGAAAUGCGUAGAUAUAAGGAAGAACACCAGUGGCGAAGGCGGAUGACUGGACGGCAACUGACGGUGAGGCGCAAAAGCGUGGGGAGCAAACAGG